CCUCCUUGUCAAUGCUGAUUUCUGCACCCACCUCCCAGUUACCAUCUGGAAUAGAAUUCAAUAGUGAUCCACCAAUGGACAGUUUUUGCUAUGAAGGAGGAAAGACAGGACAGAUUUGAUUACAACAAAAGCAUCCCAAGAAUGUGUCCUGCAUGAGCUCUUCAGGCUGUGAAAUCUUGAACUUCUACACCCAUCCUUGGCUGGCUUUUUCCAUGUGAGGCCAUAUAGAGUUGCUGCAGGUGAUAAGCAUCCUGAUGGGACUGAGAUUCACUAACAGGAGGACAACACUGAUUGCAGUAUCAGGAAUGAUAUAGUUUGAGCUGGAUUAUGGAGCUCAUCAACUGAUCCACAUCUUAAAUGCUCCAUCUUUGGCAUAAGGUGUUUGUAAAUAAUAUGCAGGGCAUUUAUAAAUAUGAUGGGAUACUUAAUACCAAAAUUAACUAUAAGUUAAUUGCUGGGAUAGAAUAAAAUACAGAAAACGAAUACAUAAAAUCAAUAUGUUACCAUAAAAUUAAAAUAUUUAAUAGCUUCAG
rnacentral:lncRNA from 1 species